rnacentral:misc_RNA from 1 species
GAUGAAGAACGUAGCGAAAUGCGAUAACUAAUGUGAAUUGCAGAAUUCAGUGAAUCAUCGAGUCUUUGAACGCACAUUGCGCCCCCUGGUAUUCCGGGGGGCAUGCCUGUCCGAGCGUCAUUGCUGCCCUCAAGCACGGCUUGUGUGUUGGGCUCCGUCCCCCCGGGGACGGGCCCGAAAGGCAGCGGCGGCACCGAGUCCGGUCCUCGAGCGUAUGGGGCUUUGUCACCCGCUCUGUAGGCCCGGCCGGCGCCAGCCGACAACCCAUCAUCCUUUUCAGGUUGACCUCGGAUCAGGUAGGGAUACCCGCUGAACUUAAGCAUACAAUAAGCGGAGGA